rnacentral:lncRNA from 1 species
GAUCUGCUGUUAAUUAUGAUGUAUUGCAGGACUCGGCCGUGGAGUACGACUGUGGCACGAAUGACGACGGAGUGACGAACUACUGCGUGCACAUCCUCUCGCGCACCGCCACCAUGGCUGCUGACAAGGAGGCGGCCCUCUUGCAAUAUGCUGAGGAUUUGGGGCUCAACCCUGACGGCAUCGAAUACAACCCCGUGCAGCAGGAGGGCUGCUGGUGAAGCUGUCAGGCUCCAGGGUUAUGUGUGUCAACGCUGGCAGUCAAAGACCGGCUUGUUUAUUUUCUGUUGUAAAUGGAAGAAUAGUUCGUUGCCCUUAGUACCA